rnacentral:lncRNA from 1 species
AUGAGGUUCAGUAGAUCAAACUGGGCCAUGUGCAGUUCAGUAAAUCAACUGGGCCACGUACAGUUCAGUAAAUCAACUGGGCCACGUGCAGUUUCAGUAAAUCAACUGGUCCACAUGCAGCUCAGUAAAUCAACUGGGCCACGUACAGUUCAGUAAAUCAAACUGGGCCACGUGAGGUUCAGUCGAUCAACUGGGCCACGUGAGUUUCCGUAGAUCAACUGGGCCACAUGCAGUCAUUCGUAAAUCAACUGGGCCACAUGCCAGUUCAGUAAAUCACUGGUCCACCAUGCAGUACGUCGAUCAACUGGGCCACGUGAGGGUUCAGUAGAUCAAAUGGACCACGUGAGGGUUUUCGCCGAUCAACAUGGGCCACGUGAGGUUCCGUAGAUCAACUGGACCACGUGCAGUUCAGUUAAUCAACUGGGCCACACGUGAGGUUCCGUAGAUCAACUGGACCACCUGAGGUUCCGUAGAUCAACUGGAUCACGUGAGGUUCCGUAGAUCAACUGGACCACGUGCAGUUCAGUAAAUCAACUGGGCCCCGUGAGGUUCCGUAGAUCAACUGGACCACUUGAGGGUUUCCGUAGAUCAACUGGACCACGUGAGGUUUCGUAGACAACUGGA